rnacentral:rRNA from 1 species
GGAAUAUUGCACAAUGGGGGAAACCCUGAUGCAGCGACGCCGCGUGAGUGAAGAAGUAAUUCGUUACGUAAAGCUCUAUCAGCAGGGAAGAAAUACCGACCUUACGGUCAGCAGACGGUACCUGAGUAAGAAGCCCCGGCUAACUACGUGCCCGCAGCCGCGGUAAUACGUAGGGGGCAAGCGUUAUCCGGAUUUACUGGGUGUAAAGGGAGCGUAGACGGUACGCCAAGUCUGAAGUGAAAUGCCGCAGCUUAACUGCGGAACUGCUUUGGAAACUGGCGGGCUGGAGUGCGGGAGGGGUAAGCGGAAUUCCUAGUGUAGCGGUGAAAUGCGUAGAUAUUAGGAGGAACACCGGUGGCGAAGGCGGCUUACUGGACCGUAACUGACGUUGAGGCUCGAAAGCGUGGGGAGCAAACA